AGACAGACGCCAACAGUCAGACGUUCAUCGCUAUCUUGGCAAUGCAGUAGUGCACAAACCCAACUUUUACAUCAACAAUUAACAGAAUACAAAAUAACAUAAGUGUAAAUGACCUGUAUCUUCACAGCAUCAACCAGCAGCUCAGUUUCCUCUGCUGAGAAGAGUUUGUUGAACACGUCCAGGUAGCUGCACCGUGAAAAUAGCAAUCCACCAAAGUCAGAGCUCACCUGACUCUUAAAGAGAAUGAAAAGCAAGUGAUGCUCUGAUUGGUUUAUUUCACGUUACGCCCAAAAUUAACCACACCCAUGAUUAAUUUAGAGAAUUAGUACAUACCUUUUAUGUGUUUCGAGCCAUGAAGGUGUACUUUUCCCGUUGUUACGAUACCAAAUUUUUAAUUCACAAUUUAAGGUGGAACAGAGAGUUUGAGGAAGAAGCUGGUCUGAUUUGCCAGAUUGUCUUUGCUGAACCAUUUAAGGUGGAACACAAUGCUCCAAUAAUAAAUGGCCUGUAUAAAGGAGCCAGAAUGUAACUGCAGCAUCAUUUAAGGUGGAACAGGAAGUUUCAGUAAGUUUUGAGCUGCACAAGUUGUAAUUUUCCCAUCGUUAUGAUAGCAAAGACACAAUGACACGCCCUAAAUCAAGCUGCACGGUGCACAGUUGACGGCUCGCCUAGAUAUCACUACAUUAUGGCCCAAUGUCUACGUUGUCUGACAUGAAAGACCUAAAAGCUCUAAAGUAAAGUCCCUCAGGGACUUCAGUGUAAAUUGUGUGUGUGUUUAGGAGGCUCGUAUAAGUCGUGGGGUGGAGCUGAUGGUUCUGCAUGUGGAGAACCUGAAGAAACGUCACAGUUUGGAGAGCAUGGAGCUCCUGCACACCAGGAGACUCCUGCAGAGCACCCGCGGACGCCUCCUCAGCGACUCCACCGUGGACGGAGACCUGAAGCAGCUAUCAGGAGGAUCGCACGUCACUCGCCGGAGAGUUAGCAUCACUCUGAUACCGACCCAGUCUCAGCUGACUGAUUUGGAGGUAAAGUUUCUGGAGAACUGUCGAUCAGGAGAGGAAGCUGGAAGUUCAAAUCAGGAGGAGCUGAAGGCUACGAACCGGAGGUGCUUUGUUCUUCCUGUAGAUGGCAAUGUUGACCAAUCCACUGAUGGUCAGGAUGAGGAGCCAAGCUUUGAUGGCUUACCCAGCUCUCUACAGGCCACUCUGAGACACCGCGGUCGAACACCUGCUCUACUAAAAUCAGAUCAGAGCUCAGAGGAGGAGGAGGAGUCCAGCUCACCUGAGUGCUUACAUGACUCAACUGCUGUCCAUCAAUCAGAGACGUGUUUGAGCGCCGGUCAGCCCCCCCGACGCUCCUCCUGCAGGAGAACGCUGAUGAUUCUGCUGCUGUUUUCUGGAGUCUUCAUCUUCAUCACUCUGCUGUUCCUGCUGUUAAAUCAGAGAGAGCCUCCACCCCGCAGAACCUGACUCUGUGUGUGUGUCUGUGUGUAGAUAUAAAUACAAGAUU
rnacentral:lncRNA from 1 species